GGGGGUGGGAAGGAAAAGUUUGACUCGUGCGCAUCGAACAUGUUUAAAAGCGUGCUUCUAUGACGUUAGCGGCGGACGGGUGAGUAACACGUGGGCAACCUGCCUGUAAGACUGGGAUAACUUCGGGAAACCGAAGCUAAUACCGGAUAGGAUCUUCUCCUUCAUGGGAGAUGAUUGAAAGAUGGUUUCGGCUAUCACUUACAGAUGGGCCCGCGGUGCAUUAGCUAGUUGGUGAGGUAACGGCUCACCAAGGCAACGAUGCAUAGCCGACCUGAGAGGGUGAUCGGCCACACUGGGACUGAGACACGGCCCAGACUCCUACGGGAGGCAGCAGUAGGGAAUCUUCCGCAAUGGACGAAAGUCUGACGGAGCAACGCCGCGUGAGUGAUGAAGGCUUUCGGGUCGUAAAACUCUGGUGGUAAGGAAGAACAAGUACGAGAGUAACUGCUCGUACCUGGACGGUACCUAACCAGAAAGCCACGGCUAACUACGUGCCAGCAGCCGCGGUAAUACGUAGGUGGCAAGCGUUAUCCGGAAUUAUUGGGCGUAAAGCGCGCGCAGGCGGUUUCUUAAGUCUGAUGUGAAAGCCCACGGCUCAACCGUGGAGGGUCAUUGGAAACUGGGGAACUUGAGUGCAGAAGAGAAAAGCGGAAUUCCACGUGUAGCGGUGAAAUGCGUAAAGAUGUGGAGGAACACCAGUGGCGAAAGCGGCUUUUUGGUCUGUAACUGACGCUGAGGCGCGAAAGCAUGGGGAGCAAACAGGAUUACAUACCCUGGUAGUCCACGCCGUAAACGAUGAGUGCUAAGUGUUAGAGGAUUUCCGCCCUUUACUGCUGCAGCUAAAGCACCAAGCACUCAACGAGCCUGAGGAAGUUCACCCCAGUCGCAAGUCACUCGAAACUCAAAGGAAUUGACGCGCCCCCGCACAAGCGGUGGAGCAUGUGGUUUAAUUCGAAGCAACGCGAAGAACCUUACCAGGUCUUGACAUCCUCUGACAACUCUAGAGAUAGAGCGUUCCCCUUCGGGGGACAGAGUGACAGGUGGUGCAUGGUUGUCGUCAGCUCGUGUCGUGAGAUGUUGGGUUAAGUCCCGCAACGAGCGCAACCCUUGAUCUUAGUUGCCAGCAUUUAGUUGGGCACUCUAAGGUGACUGCCGGUGACAAACCGGAGGAAGGUGGGGAUGACGUCAAAUCAUCAUGCCCCUUAUGACCUGGGCUACACACGUGCUACAAUGGAUGGUACAAAGGGCUGCAAGACCGCGAGGUCAAGCCAAUCCCAUAAAACCAUUCUCAGUUCGGAUUGUAGGCUGCAACUCGCCUACAUGAAGCUGGAAUCGCUAGUAAUCGCGGAUCAGCAUGCCGCGGUGAAUACGUUCCCGGGCCUUGUACACACCGCCCGUCACACCACGAGAGUUUUCACUCCAGAUGUUCCGCUGGGGUACCCAAUGUUGUAACAAGGUAAACCCUUAUUUCCCCCCCAAUUACCGAAACC
rnacentral:rRNA from 1 species